UCAGAUCUUCAAACAAUGGCUAAUUAUGCUCUCCUUAGACAUUCCCUCCGGGGGCUAUUUUUCAUCAUUUUCAUUUUGAUUAAUUCAGGUAAUUAAAACUUAUCACUCAAUUUAAUUUAUUAUUUAGUUUUUUUAUUAUAUCUCCCCAUUUAUUUGUCAUCAAAUAUUUUUGGGUAUGUGUAUAUUCUUGUUUAAUACAUAUGCGUGAGCUUUUGGAGAUUUGCUGUUCUUAAAAUUUAUUAAUUUUAGUUUUUUACUCAAAGCAAACUUCAAUUAUUUUAACUUUAAAAAAAAAAAUGAAACUUUCGAUAUCAUGCCGUGUCUCUUUUUCAUCAUACAUUGUCAUUUUCUCUUCUUACUGUUUAGAAAAUAGUAUGAUAUCCAAAUUUUUAUUAAAUAAUUUUUUUUAAUUUCACAUAUUACAUUUUGUUAAAUGUAAUUGUAAAUGUAAAGCUGAAUAUUAUUAAAGCUUCAACAUUAUUACUAGGACAACAAUAAAAUAUAAGUCCAGAGAGCAACGACACACAAACGGAGAUUUUUAAAAUUUUUAUCUUAAGUUAUGUGGUAUUCAUUAGAUGUCUUAAUUUGAUUACAACAUUUAUAAAAUUCUUUAAGAGUGUACGUGUUUUCAUAGCCGCAGGGCCGGCACCGGCGGCGGCGAUAAACGUGUUGCCGAAUUGCUUCGGAAGCUGUAUGAGUGUUCAAGAAUGCAACACAAAUUGCAUUGCGAAGAAUUUUAAAAGUGGUGCCUGCCUCGGCCUCGGAUCUGAUUA
rnacentral:lncRNA from 1 species